ACGUAGGGUGCGAGCGUUAAUCGGAAUUACUGGGCGUAAAGCGUGCGCAGGCGGUUGUGCAAGACAGAUGUGAAAUCCCCGGGCUUAACCUGGGAACUGCAUUUGUGACUGCACAGCUGGAGUGCGGCAGAGGGGGAUGGAAUUCCUGGUGUAGCAGUGAAAUGCGUAGAUAUCAGGAGGAACACCGAUGGCGAAGGCAGGUCUCUGGGCUGACACUGACGCUCAUGCACGAAAGCGUGGGGAGCAAACAGGA
rnacentral:rRNA from 1 species